CCUACGGGAGGCAGCAGUGAGGAAUAUUGGUCAAUGGUCGGGAGACUGAACCAGCCAAGCCGCGUGAGGGAGGAAGGUACAGAGUAUCGUAAACCUCUUUUGUCAGGGAACAAAGGCGGGGACGUGUCCCCGGAUGAGUGUACCUGAAGAAAAAGCAUCGGCUAACUCCGUGCCAGCAGCCGCGGUAAUACGGAGGAUGCGAGCGUUAUCCGGAUUUAUGGGGUUUAAAGGGUGCGCAGGCGGUCUGUUAAGUCAGCGGUCAAAGCCCGGGGCUCAACCCCGGCCCGCCGUUGAAACUGGCAGUCUCGAGUUGGAGAGAAGUAUGCGGAAUGCGCGGUGUAGCGGUGAAAUGCAUAGAUAUCGCGAAGAACUCCGAUUGCGAAGGCAGCAUGCCGGCUCCACACUGACGCUGAGGCACGAAAGCGUGGGUAUCGAACAGGAUUAGAUACCCCUGUAGUC
rnacentral:rRNA from 1 species